AAAUCGCUUCUCCCGUUCAGUCACCUUAAAAUCCUCUCCUCUCUGUUCUCUCUUAGACCCAACCCUAACCCUAAUUGUCGCCACCUAAACCUAGCCCUAAUCAUUUCGAUUCCUACCUGUUUUAUGAGGUUCCAUGGUUGUUUUCAGGCUCCACUGGUCUCCUACUUUUUCUGAUUGUCCGAUUUUGUGAUUUCUUGGAAAGAUCUCGAAGAGAGCUGGCCAGAUCUUGUUCGAGACUCUUUGAGGGUCUGUCUAUAGUCUGUGAGUGUUACUGUCUCGAUGUUUGUGGUUCAAAUCUCUUGUUCAAGGCCAUAUUCUCUUUACCCCUUUCCUUUUUCUUCAAAACCCCAAUUUUGGAUACGAAUCCAUCCAGAUCUUUGUAGAUUUGAAACGAUUCUAAGUCUGUCAACAACUUUUCUUUAAAAAGUUCUCUUAUUUCUUUAUUGCUAACCGAUUUUUAAGCACUUUUUUUUUAUAUUAGAGUUUGUUUUCUCUUUAUUUGUUGGGUGAACCUCUAUGUUUGAAGUAGUUUCGAGUUUCCAUGACUGUUUCUUUAAGAUUCUCCUGAUCUUACCACUAUUAAUCAAUCCUAAGUAUUUUUUUUAAAUUUAGGGUUCUAGUUCUAUUUUUGCGAGAGGUUUUCAGAGAUUCUUAUGUUUUGUUUAAUCUUUCUCGCAUGGAUAUGACCCUGGUUCAAUUGCUUGAUUGUUCAUUAUUUGACUUUAACAUUAUUGUCCAUUAUUAUUUGAAUAAUUGACUGAUUAACUAAAUUAUCUAGGGUUUCAUUAUUUGUUAAAAUAAUGUACUGAUUUCUUCUUGCUUUCCUUAAUUCAGAGGUUCCUAAUUGGCGUCUCUUGCCUAUUUAUGGGCUGAUUGACACUUGAUUGGUCUUUAAUUGCCAAUGAUUGCCUCAUUCGUGCGAUUGAUUGCUUGAUUUAAGAGUUCUAACUCUAAUUGGCUUUUAAAUCCACAUAUUGCAUUAUUUGAAACUCAAUCAAAGUUAUUUAUGGUUAUAAUCCCCUAAUUUUCUGUCCCUGUCAAGCUUGAUUGAUUAUGUGAGUACUUCCCUUACCUUAUUUACAAUAUUUAUCUGUCUUGCCUUAUUUACUUACACUAUUCGACUCCGAUAUAUAUAGUCUCAUUCUGCCUUUCACACAAGAGAAAUAGUUCACGCACAGAGACCUAAGGAAAAACACUUAAAAAUUCUUGCUCUCUCUCUCUCUCUCUAUUGCAAACUACUGCUACUUGUCUAUUGAACUAUCUAGUCGGUUGGAAGCCAAGACUAGAUCUUGGAUCCUCUUUACUUUACUCUUUUAUUGCAAAUUUCCAGCUGGUAUGCCUCUACUACUGCCAUUUAAUUAAUGUAUGUGUUUAUCAGCAUGUUUACUUCUGUUUAAAUCCAUGAGUUUGUCAACUUAUUUACUUUUGUUUAAAUCCAUAAGUUUACCAGCAUGUUUACUUCUGUUUAAUCCAUGUGUUUACUAAUAUGAUUGCUUCUGUCUAAUCUACGUGGUUACCUUUGUUCAAUCUGUAUGUUCAAUAGCAUGUCUAACUAUGUGUUUCCUAGCAUGCCUAUUAAUGUUCAAUCUAUGUUACUACUGCACCAGCAUACCUACUGCUGCUCAAUACAUGUGUUUACUACAAUAGCAUGUUUACUUCUGUUUUUAAUUAGAACUAUGUACUUUUACUUUAAGCAAAUUUGCAUGUUUACUUAUGUCUAAAUUUGAUAUGUGUUUUAUCUACUUCCCUACUAGCAUGUUUACCCUAUCUAGAUGUCCACCUUUCACAACUUUGCUCCCCAAUCCCUACUGCCCCUUUGUAUGUGAUUGUUCGAUCGUUAGAAUGACUUGUCUUUCUGUUUGGUCACUUAUUAAUAACUAACUUAAGUCAUCCUAAUUCUGAAUGUUGUUUGUUUGCUGGAACAUAUGCCUAAGUUCCAGGAAUUGAAUGACUAUAUUUGCUUCUUCUUUCCUGAAAGUCUAAAAACUUAUUUUUUCAAACUACUCUUAUAAGUCACUAUCACCUUCAAAAUUCUUAGAACAUCUAGGGUUCUACCCCUCCAGUAUGAGCAUUGAUUUGGAGUCCAUGAGACCCCCCCUGAACUUCGACACAUUGGGGUUGGAUACUCCAUACGACACAAGCUCUUAAUUUUUAAAGAGGGCAUUGGUAUGAG
rnacentral:lncRNA from 1 species